rnacentral:rRNA from 1 species
UGACAAGACUGACGCUCAGGUGCGAAAGCGUGGGGAGCAAACAGGAUUAGAUACCUGGUAGUCCACGCUGUAAACGAUGUCGAUUUGGAGGUGUUCCCUUGAGGAGUGGCUUCCGGAGCUAACGCGUUAAAUCGACCGCCUGGGGAGUACGGCCGCAAGGUUAAAACUCAAAUGAAUUGACGGGGGCCCGCACAAGCGGUGGAGCAUGUGGUUUAAUUCGAUGCAACGCGAAGAACCUUACCUACUCUUGACAUCCAGAGAAUUUAGCAGAGAUGCUUUAGUGCCUUCGGGAACUCUGAGACAGGUGCUGCAUGGCUGUCGUCAGCUCGUGUUGUGAAAUGUUGGGUUAAGUCCCGCAACGAGCGCAACCCUUAUCCUUUGUUGCCAGCACAUUAUGGUGGGAACUCAAAGGAGACUGCCGGUGAUAAACCGGAGGAAGGUGGGGAUGACGUCAAGUCAUCAUGGCCCUUACGAGUAGGGCUACACACGUGCUACAAUGGCGUAUACAAAGAGAAGCGACCUCGCGAGAGCAAGCGGAACUCAUAAAGUACGUCGUAGUCCGGAUUGGAGUCUGCAACUCGACUCCAUGAAGUCGGAAUCGCUAGUAAUCGUAGAUCAGAAUGCUACGGUGAAUACGUUCCCGGGCCUUGUACACACCGCCCGUCACACCAUGGGAGUGGGUUGCAAAAGAAGUAGGUAGCUUAACCUUCGGGAGGGCGCUUACCACUUUGUGAUUCAUGACUGGGGUGAAGUCGUAACAAGGUAACCA